rnacentral:other from 1 species
AUCUUCCUGAAGUGUGCGCCGAGGCUCUGUUUUUACCCACAUUUCACGAAACGGAGUUCGCGUCCAUGAUUGGAUGCCAUGCCCCCGCCAUUCGGUGAUCGGGGAAGGCAAAUGUUUGUGGUAGAGCACCGGCCUGCUAACAGAGCGGGUGAAAAAACCGAGUACAGCGGCACUUUGGGUAUCUU